rnacentral:rRNA from 1 species
GCCUACGGGGGGCAGCAGUCUAGAGGCUUCGGCAAUGGGGGCAACCCUGACCGAGCGACGCCGCGUGCGGGAUUGAAGGCCUUCGGGUCGUAAACCGCUGUCAUUGGGGAAGAAUGCCCGGAUGGUGAAUCCGGGAGGGACGGUACCCGAGAAGGAAGCCCCGGCUAACUCCGUGCCAGCAGCCGCGGUAAUACGGAGGGGGCGAGCGUUGUUCGGAUUUACUGGGCGUAAAGGGUGUGUAGGCGGCUGCGCAAGUCUGGUGUGAAAUCUUCACCGCUUAACGGGAAGCGUGCACUGGAAACUGCGCAGCUCGAGUAUGGUAGAGGCAAGCGGAAUUCCUGGUGUAGCGGUGGAAUGUGUAGAUAUCAGGAAGAACACCGGUGGCGAAGGCGGCUUGCUGGGCCAUCACUGACGCUGAGACACGAAAGCGUGGGGAGCAAACGGGAUUAGAUACCCCGGUAGC